GACGAACGCUGGCGGCGUGCCUAAUACAUGCAAGUCGAGCGGACGAAUCGAAAGCUUGCUUUUGAUUCGUUAGCGGCGGACGGGUGAGUAACACGUGGGCAACCUGCCCUGUAGACGGGGAUAACACCGAGAAAUCGGUGCUAAUACCGGAUAACACGAAAUGUCGUAUGACGUUUCGUUGAAAGACGGCGCAAGCUGUCGCUACAGGAUGGGCCCGCGGCGCAUUAGCUAGUUGGUGAGGUAACGGCUCACCAAGGCGACGAUGCGUAGCCGACCUGAGAGGGUGAUCGGCCACACUGGGACUGAGACACGGCCCAGACUCCUACGGGAGGCAGCAGUAGGGAAUCUUCCGCAAUGGACGAAAGUCUGACGGAGCAACGCCGCGUGAGCGAAGAAGGCCUUCGGGUCGUAAAGCUCUGUUGUUAGGGAAGAACAAGUAACGCAGUAACUGGCGUUACCGUGACGGUACCUAACGAGAAAGCCACGGCUAACUACGUG
rnacentral:rRNA from 1 species